UACGUAGGGAGCAAGCGUUGUCCGGAAUCAUUGGGCGUAAAGCGCGCGUAGGCGGCCCCAUAAGUCCGUUGUGAAAGUCAAAGGCUCAACCUUUGAAAGCCGAUGGAUACUGUGAGGCUAGAGUCCGGAAGAGGCGAGUGGAAUUCCUGGUGUAGCGGUGGAAUGCGCAGAUAUCAGGAGGAACACCGGUGGCGAAGGCGGGACUCUGGGCCGAUACUGACGCUGAGGAGCGAAAGCGUGGGGAGCGAACAGG
rnacentral:rRNA from 1 species